AAAUUGAAGAGUUUGAUCAUGGCUCAGAUUGAACGCUGGCGGCAGGCCUAACACAUGCAAGUCGAACGGUAACAGGAAGCAGCUUGCUGCUUCGCUGACGAGUGGCGGACGGGUGAGUAAUGUCUGGGAAGCUGCCUGAUGGAGGGGGAUAACUACUGGAAACGGUAGCUAAUACCGCAUAACGUCGCAAGACCAAAGAGGGGGACCUUCGGGCCUCUUGCCAUCGGAUGUGCCCAGAUGGGAUUAGCUAGUAGGUGGGGUAACGGCUCACCUAGGCGACGAUCCCUAGCUGGUCUGAGAGGAUGACCAGCCACACUGGAACUGAGACACGGUCCAGACUCCUACGGGAGGCAGCAGUGGGGAAUAUUGCACAAUGGGCGCAAGCCUGAUGCAGCCAUGCCGCGUGUAUGAAGAAGGCCUUCGGGUUGUAAAGUACUUUCAGCGGGGAGGAAGGGAGUAAAGUUAAUACCUUUGCUCAUUGACGUUACCCGCAGAAGAAGCACCGGCUAACUCCGUGCCAGCAGCCGCGGUAAUACGGAGGGUGCAAGCGUUAAUCGGAAUUACUGGGCGUAAAGCGCACGCAGGCGGUUUGUUAAGUCAGAUGUGAAAUCCCCGGGCUCAACCUGGGAACUGCAUCUGAUACUGGCAAGCUUGAGUCUCGUAGAGGGGGGUAGAAUUCCAGGUGUAGCGGUGAAAUGCGUAGAGAUCUGGAGGAAUACCGGUGGCGAAGGCGGCCCCCUGGACGAAGACUGACGCUCAGGUGCGAAAGCGUGGGGAGCAAACAGGAUUAGAUACCCUGGUAGUCCACGCCGUAAACGAUGUCGACUUGGAGGUUGUGCCCUUGAGGCGUGGCUUCCGGAGCUAACGCGUUAAGUCGACCGCCUGGGGAGUACGGCCGCAAGGUUAAAACUCAAAUGAAUUGACGGGGGCCCGCACAAGCGGUGGAGCAUGUGGUUUAAUUCGAUGCAACGCGAAGAACCUUACCUGGUCUUGACAUCCACAGAACUUUCCAGAGAUGGAUUGGUGCCUUCGGGAACUGUGAGACAGGUGCUGCAUGGCUGUCGUCAGCUCGUGUUGUGAAAUGUUGGGUUAAGUCCCGCAACGAGCGCAACCCUUAUCCUUUGUUGCCAGCGGUCCGGCCGGGAACUCAAAGGAGACUGCCAGUGAUAAACUGGAGGAAGGUGGGGAUGACGUCAAGUCAUCAUGGCCCUUACGACCAGGGCUACACACGUGCUACAAUGGCGCAUACAAAGAGAAGCGACCUCGCGAGAGCAAGCGGACCUCAUAAAGUGCGUCGUAGUCCGGAUUGGAGUCUGCAACUCGACUCCAUGAAGUCGGAAUCGCUAGUAAUCGUGGAUCAGAAUGCCACGGUGAAUACGUUCCCGGGCCUUGUACACACCGCCCGUCACACCAUGGGAGUGGGUUGCAAAAGAAGUAGGUAGCUUAACCUUCGGGAGGGCGCUUACCACUUUGUGAUUCAUGACUGGGGUGAAGUCGUAACAAGGUAACCGUAGGGGAACCUGCGGUUGGAUCACCUCCUUACCUUAAAGAAGC
rnacentral:rRNA from 1 species